rnacentral:rRNA from 1 species
UGGCGGACGGGUGAGUAACGCGUGGAAAACCUGCCGUAUACUGGGGGAUAACACUUAGAAAUAGGUGCUAAUACCGCAUAAGCGCACAGCUUCGCAUGAAGCGGUGUGAAAAACUCUGGUGGUAUACGAUGGUUCCGCGUCUGAUUAGCUAGUUGGUGGGGUAAUGGCCUACCAAGGCAACGAUCAGUAGCCGGCCUGAGAGGGUGAACGGCCACAUUGGGGCUGAGACACGGCCCAAACUCCUACGGAAGGCAGCAG